GACGAACGCUGGCGGCGUGCUUAACACAUGCAAGUCGAACGUAGAGCGAUGGAAGCUUGCUUCUAUCACUCUUAGUGGCGAACGGGUGAGUAACGCGUAAUCAACCUGCCCUUCAGAGGGGGACAACAGUUGGAAACGACUGCUAAUACCGCAUACGAUCUAAUCUCGGCAUCGAGGAUAGAUGAAAGGUGGCCUCUACAUGUAAGCUAUCACUGAAGGAGGGGAUUGCGUCUGAUUAGCUAGUUGGAGGGGUAACGGCCCACCAAGGCGAUGAUCAGUAGCCGGUCUGAGAGGAUGAACGGCCACAUUGGGACUGAGACACGGCCCAGACUCCUACGGGAGGCAGCAGUGGGGAAUCUUCCGCAAUGGACGAAAGUCUGACGGAGCAACGCCGCGUGAGUGAUGGCGGCCUUCGGGUUGUAAAGCUCUGUUAAUCGGGACGAAAGGCCUUCUUGCGAAUAGUGAGAAGGAUUGACGGUACCGGAAUAGGAAGCCACGGCUAACUACGUG
rnacentral:rRNA from 1 species